rnacentral:lncRNA from 1 species
ACAGUCAACUUCAGGUCAGUGGUAACAGUUUUAUAGGAAAAUCGUACUUAUUACUAUUGAGUUAAGGUGCAUGACAGUUACUACUGAUGUGCAGUCUACCGUACUUUACUUUUGACAGAAUAAUAAUUUGUGCAAAACUAUGUCUCAUUACAACGAUAUAAGAAUGAUGUUAGUAUGACGACGAGUAAAUUAUCAGUUGUGAAGUUUGUGGACCUUAUGUAGUGGAGUUAAGUUUCAUUUUCCAAUGGCAAUUUGUUAAAAGGUAAAUAAAUGGUUUGUGCAUGUAUAGGAAGUAACAUGAA